UCCCCGAUAGUCUAGUGGUGAGGAUAUCUGCUUGUCAUUGAGGAAUUAUUUCCAUACAACGAUUCGCAGGGGACCGGGGUUCAAUUCCCCGUCGAGGAG
rnacentral:tRNA from 1 species